GACGGAGGGCGCGAGCGUUACCCGGAUUUACUGGGCGUAAAGGGCGUGUAGGCGGCCUGGGGCGUCCCAUGAGAAAGGCCACGGCUCAACUGUGGAGGAGCGUGGGAUACGCUCAGGCUAGACGGUGGGAGAGGGUGGUGGAAUUCCUGGAGUAGCGGUGAAAUGCGCAGAUACCGGGAGGAACGCCGAUGGCGAAGGCAGCCACCUGGCUCACUGGUGACGCUGAUGCGCGAAAGCGUGGGGAGCAAACCGG
rnacentral:rRNA from 1 species